ACAACAGCAUCUGUAUCCCCACUGCAUAUAAUGUAGGCAGACUGAUCAAGCAAUCUUCACUUGUAAUCAAGACUUUACAUACAUCUUCUACACUAGUCGCAUCUGUAAACAUUCAUUUACUACAAGUGAACAUCACAAAGUUCAAUACAAAAUUGGUACCUGAAGACCCAUAUUUUGAGACCUG